UCCGGUUUGGCACCGGCAGUCUUCCUAGAGUCCCCGCCAUUACGCGCUGGCAACUAAGAACAGGGGUUGCGCUCGUUGCGGGAUUUAACCCAACAUCUCACGACACGAGCUGACGACAACCAUGCACCACCUGUGCACGGCCCUUACGGACCCCCCAUCUCUGGGAGAUUUCCGUGCAUGUCAAGCCUAGGUAAGGUUCUUCGCGUCGCAUCGAAUUAAGCCACAUGCUCCGCCGCUUGUGCGGGUCCCCGUCAAUUCCUUUGAGUUUCAGCCUUGCGGCCGUACUCCCCAGGCGGGGCACUUAAUGCGUUAGCGCCGGCACCCAGGGGGUCGCUCCCCCAGGCACCUAGUGCCCAUCGUUUACGGCGUGGACUAC
rnacentral:misc_RNA from 1 species